GUAAGGCGCCGAAUGAGUCAUUAAAAAAUUAACAUCAUCCGAUCCCUAGUCGGCAUAGUUUAUGGUUAAGACUACGACGGUAUCUGAUCGUCUUCGAUCCCCUAACUUUCGUUCUUGAUUAAUGAAAACAUCCUUGGCAAAAUGCUUUUCGCAGUAGUUAGUCUUCAAUAAAUCCAAAGAAUUUCACCUCUGACAAUUGAAUACUAAUGCCCCCAACUAUCCCUAUUAAUCAUUACGUCAAUCUUAGAAACCAACAAAAUAAGAUCGAACGUCCUAUUCAUUAUUCCAUGCUAAUGUAUUCAAGCGUUAGCCUGCUUU
rnacentral:rRNA from 1 species